GAGCCUGCAGCGUGCCUGGAAGGGUAGGAUGGAGGGGAGGGGGGUCCCUUCUGGUUCCUCCAGGAAGUCAUAUGCUGAUGGUGUUGCCUUGGCAACUCUUCAGGACAAAUUUCCCAUCGAGCCCUGCAGCUCUCAGGCUCCACCAGGCAGACCGACGGCAGGGAGGGGGUGUCCAGUUCAGAAAAUCACGCUGUCAGCAGCCUUGUCAUCAAACAACAAGGCCACGCAUAGCUACAGUAGGAUGUGAGAGCCUCGGGACCUGGAGAAGAUGGCAGCAGGAAAGGCAGCAGGCAGCCGUUGGCCCCCAAAUGCCCUCGAACCAAGAAUGGUGGGGCCCCAGAGGCAAAUAAUGGGGGAGACAGAUGGCAAUCAUUUCCAGAUAGUGAAAGCCCGCAGAAGAUCAAGGAUAAAGCAGGAAGCCGGCCAAGCCCAUGAGGAUGAAGCAACUGAGCUAACAAUUGCACCAACAGGCAGGUGGAGCUAGGACACCACCUCCAGAAGCAAGGCCACACUGAAGCCUGUGUCCCGCUUCCUCCAGCACCCGACUCCGAACAAGCUUGUGUUGCAGCAAGAAAGCUCUAGGUUAGCACUGCGGGGAACUGGGCGAGUCACCAAAUCCGGUCCCCUGGCUCCAACCAUCCAAGGUAAAGAACAGUCCCUCCUCUUCUAAAAGCUUUCCGAUGACCCAGAAAGUCCACAUCAAGCCUGAGCCCUGAUCAACAGGAAGUUCUCCACCGGGGCUAACUAAAAUCCCUCCUGUUGUAAUUUAAGAUGCAACGGUGCUCCACCCAGUCUCCGGGGAGAUGGAGAGCGGCUAGCUGGCGGCCUCCUCAUACUAACCCCCUAUGUUUGCAAUGUCUGGAUUGUCUAUCGUGUCGCCGGCAGAGGCUCCUUCGGGCGGACAGUCGCAGAGAGGACAGGAGAGGCGUCACCUGCUCUCCUUGGCCCGUCCACUUGCUGACCACCUCUCAGCCCCUCCCAGUAGGGCCUGUCUUUCCCUGGAUCGCCCUCUGGUGGGAUCAGAAUUCAAAUCAAGCCUGGUGCAGGGAUGAUCUCCGAAAAUUUACACACUUUGAGGUCAUCGAGUUCAGACAGACAAGUGACUGACCCAUUGGGGAAUACACAGGUCUGUUUUUUCUUUAAAGACAAAGGCUCCGCAUCCUUCCCGGGUAGCUUCUUCCGCUGUUUUAUUAUCCCGAUGGUCUGGAAGUUAUUUGUGCCCAAUAAAGUGACCAAUCAGUCAA